AUUCUCUCUCUCUCUCUCUCUCUCUCUCUCUCUCACACACACACACACGCAGAGAGAGAGAGAGAGAGAGAGAGAAAGAGAGAUU
rnacentral:miRNA from 1 species